rnacentral:rRNA from 1 species
GACGAACGCUGGCGGCGUGCCUAAUACAUGCAAGUCGAACGAAGCUGUUUUAACUGGUGCUUGCACCGACUUAAACAACUGAGUGGCGAACGGGUGAGUAACACGUGGGUAACCUGCCCCAAAGCGGGGGAUAACAUUUGGAAACAGAUGCUAAUACCGCAUAACCACAGAAACCACAUGGUUUCUGUGUCAAAGAUGGUUUCGGCUAUCACUUUGGGAUGGACCCGCGGCGUAUUAGCUAGUUGGUAAGGUAAUGGCUUACCAAGGCAAUGAAACGUAGCGGAACUGAGAGGUUGAUCGGCCACAUUGGGACUGGGACACGGCCCAAACUCCUACGGGAGGCAGCAGUAGGGAAUCUUCCACAAUGGACGAAAGUCUGAUGGAGCAACGCCGCGUGAGUGAAGAAGGUUUUCGGAUCGUAAAACUCUGUUGUCAGAGAAGAACGUGUGCGAGAGUAACUGUUCGUGCAGUGACGGUAUCUGGCCAGAAAGCCACGGCUAACUACGUGCCAGCCGCCGCGGUAA